rnacentral:siRNA from 1 species
AGCCGGCAUGCGAUCUCUGGUCAA